rnacentral:rRNA from 1 species
UGCCAGCCGCCGCGGUAAUACUGAAGGUGCAAGCGUUAAUCGGAAUCACUGGGCGUAAAGCGCUCGUAGGUGGCUUUGUAAGUCAGAUGUGAAAGCCCACGGCUCAACCGUGGAAUUGCAUUUGAUACUGCAUCGCUAGAGUAUAGGAGAGGGAAGUGGAAUUUCUGGUGUAGGAGUGAAAUCCGUAGAGAUCAGAAGGAACACCGGUGGCGAAGGCGACUUCCUGGACUAUUACUGACACUGAGGAGCGAAAGCGUGGGGAGCAAACAGGAUUAGAUA